rnacentral:rRNA from 1 species
UACGAGAGGCCCAAACGUUAUUCGGAAUUACUGGGCUUAAAGAGUUCGUAGGCGGCGCAACAAGUGGGGUGUGAAAGCCCUCGGCUCAACCGAGGAAUUGCGCUCCAAACUGUUGUGCUUGAGGGACCUAGAGGUGAGCGGAACUGAUGGUGGAGCGGUGAAAUGCGUUGAUAUCAUCAGGAACACCGGAGGCGAAGGCGGCUCACUGGGGGUCUUCUGACGCUGAGGAACGAAAGCC